AUACCUUCGCAGGAGAUGAAAAAUAUUUCUGGAUGGAACACUGCAUGAUGCUGUUUUAUAGAAGAUGAACUACUGAAAUCCGUUCUAAUUGAUUUUCCUUAUCUACAAGGCAAUUUUUUAAAGAAAGGCUUUCUUUAGAACCUUUAUAACAUGAAUAAGAAAACAGCAAUGUGAGCCCCAGUGGCAUUUCAGACUUCAUCUUCAAUGAAAGCAUUUUUACUGAACUUCUGAAAUAACGUUAAUUAUCUGAGCAUUGAUAGAUACAGCUCAUGCCUUGCCACAAUUAAUUUCUUUCUCAAUUGUUAUUUGGAAAAGUCUUUAAAAAUCUAUAUAAUUACUACCUUAGUUUUUACCCUAAAUACAAAUUGUAAACUUAUUCAUAUUGUGAAGUAAUUUAAAUUGGACUUUUUUCCUAAUGGCAAAAAUAAUGAUCUGUGUCAAAAAUUUAGAAAAUCUAAAAAAAGCAAUGUGAAAAUACUUUUGAUAAAAUAAAGGCAUUUUCCCUCUAAUUGCUCUUUGGUUAUCACACAUUAAAAAAAAGAAGAAGAAGAAAGAAAAAGAAAUUAAAAAGGAACCUGCAUCGCCAAUGAGAUUGAGUCCCUAACAACCUCAAAAGAGGAAAAAGUGAACAACAACAAAAAGAAUCCAGGAGGAGGUUGAAUGACGUGGGAAAAAGAGCCUAAGAAAGAAGAUGACAUCUAUCUAAGAGAACUGUGAUUGAUAAACUGAAAGGCUGAAACCAAAUCAGGAAAAGCUCUUUCCCCUGCCUGGAAUAAUUACCCAGUCCUCCCCUCUUGACUAAAUCUUCGAAGUCUCUCCUCCUUGCAGAAACCUGAUACACUGAUUCUUCUAGUGUAUUAAUUAACUAUUGAUAUACUGAUCUUGUGUAACAAAUUACCAUGAAAAUUAGUAGUUUAAAACAAC